AAUCAAACUGGGAGAUAGCUCGUUCUCUCCGAAAUAACUUUAGGGUUAGCCUCAGGUGGCAAGCAUUGGGGGUAGAGCUACUGGAUGAUUUUGGGGGUCUACCCGACUACCCUGGUCAACCAAACUCCGAAUACCGAUGCCCAAGGCCUGGGAGAUAGACGGUGAGCGAUAAUGUCCAUCGUCAAAAGGAGAAAAAUCCUGAUCGCCAGCUAAGGUCCCAAAUCCUGGCUAAGUUCGAAAGGAAGUUGGAUUGCUAUGACAUCCGGGAUGUUGGCUUAGAAGCAGCCACCAUUUAAAGAGUGCGUAACAGCUCACCGGACGAGGAAUCCAGCGCCGAUAAUUAUCGGGAAUAAGCCAGGAGCCGAAGCUGCGGGCUUCGAAAGAAGCGGUAGGAGAGCGUUGCUGCCAGCGGAGAAGGCGUCCCGGAAGGGUCGUUGGAGCGGCAGCAAGUGAAUAUGCGGGCUUGAGUAACGAUUAAACGGGUGAGAAUCCCGUUCGCCGUAUGCCUAAGGGUUCCUGGGGAAGGUAAAUCCGCCCAGGGUUAGCCGGGUCCUAAGGCGAGGCCGAAAGGCGUAGUCGAUGGAUAUGGGGUUAAUAGUCCCCAGCACACGCAGAGAUCAAACCACACUUCGGAUUGCCGAGCUCGGAGGGGCUGUCAGAUGCCCAGGCCCUAGAGGCCGAUACCGGGGGAGGCGGUUCCUAGAAAAGGUGUGGGGGCAAAGCGUGUCCCGUACCAAAACUGACACAGGUAGGCGAGGCGAAUAGCCUCAGGCGCUCGAGAGAACCCUACGUGAAGGAACUCGGCAAAUUGACCCCGUAAGUUAGCGAUAAGGGGUGCCCUCGCAAGAGGGUCACAGGAAAACGACAGCUGCGACUGUUUACUAAAAACACAGGUCUCUGCGAAGUCGUCAAAGGCGACGUAUAGAGACUGACGCUUGCCCGCUGUUGGAACGUUAAGGUGACUGGUUAGCCGCAAGGCGAGGCUGGGAGCCGAAGCGCCAAUGAAGGGCGGCCGUAACUAUGACGGUCCUAAGGUAGCGAAAUUCCUUGUCGGGUAAGUUCCGACCCGCACGAAUAGCGUAACGACAGCUGUACUGUCUCCACGAGGGACUCGGCGAAAUUGUAGCUGUGGUGAAGAUGCCACAUGCCCGCACCAAGACGGAAAGACCCCGUGAACCUUUACUGUAACCUAAUACUGGCUCUAGGUUCGCCAUGUGUAGCAUAGGUGGGAGACGUUGAUGUCGGGGGCGCCAGCCUCCGAAUAGUCGUCAGUGAAAUACCACUCUUGGCGUACUUGGAGUCUAACCUGCGACCGUUAUCCGGCGUGGGAACAGUGUUAGGCGGGCAGUUUGACUGGGGCGGUCUCCUCCUAAAAGGUAACGGAGGAGUUCAAAGGUACCCUCAAUGCGGUUGGCAAUCGCAUGUAGAGCGUAAAAGUAUAAGGGUGCUUGACUGCGAGACACAUAGGUCGAGCAGGUACGAAAGUAGGAUUUAGUGAUCCGGUGGUCCCGUGUGGAAGGGCCAUCGCUCAUCAGAUAAAAGGUACUCCGGGGAUAACAGGCUGAUCACGCCCAAGAGUCCAUAUCGACGGCGUGGUUUGGCACCUCGAUGUCGGCUCA
rnacentral:rRNA from 1 species